GCUCCAGUGGCGCAAUCGGUUAGCGCGCGGUACUUAUAAGACAGUACACCUUGAGCAAUGCCGAGGUUGUGAGUUCGAGCCUCACCUGGAGCA
rnacentral:tRNA from 1 species